GACGAACGCUGGCGGCGUGCUUAACACAUGCAAGUCGAACGGAAAGGCCCUGCUUUUGUGGGGUGCUCGAGUGGCGAACGGGUGAGUAACACGUGAGUAACCUGCCCUUGACUUUGGGAUAACUUCAGGAAGCUGGGGCUAAUACCGGAUAGGAGCUCCUGCUGCAUGGUGGGGGAUGGAAAGUUUCGGCGGUUGGGGAUGGUCUCGCGGCUUAUCAGCUUGUUGGUGGGGUAGUGGCUUACCAAGGGUUUGACGGGUAGCCGGCCUGGGAGGGUGACCGGCCACAUUGGGACUGAGGGAGGGCCCAGACGCCUACGGGAGGCAGCAGUGGGGAAUAUUGCACAAUGGGCGGAAGCCUGAUGCAGCAACGCCGCGGGCGGGAUGACGGCCUUCGAGUUGUAAACCGCUUUCGCCUGUGACGAAGCGUGAGUGACGGUAAUGGGUAAAGAAGCACCGGCUAACUACGUG
rnacentral:rRNA from 1 species